AACAAGAUGGCUGCGCCCACUGCCAGUCCUGCACUCCGGCUGUGACUGUGUUCGCUUCUGUUACUCACUUUCAAAUCAUCAUUGCUCUCUCAAAUAUUGGACAUUUGUGCCAAACCCUCCAUAACUCUACGAGAACCGGCAGCACCCCGGCUUCAAACUCCUCCAUCCUCCGCUACACACCUCUCAGAAUCAAUGGUCAGGUUUUUUUCCCCCGUCCCACAUCACGUCCACUGAAUGGGACCAGAUUCCUCUACUGAGGUGGCGAGCUGAAGCCUGGUAGAAUCAAAUAUUUUUUUUUUUAUUUACCCACUUCUCCGGAUUGUGGAUUAUUAUAAACUGAACCGUGAGCUCAAGUCAAGGAUCGUGAUAAAGCAGAUUGUGCGCUCAAACCAAACUUAAAAAAGAAGUGUCAUCUUAUACUUGA